UACGAAGGGUGCAAACGUUGCUCGGAAUUACUGGGCGUAAAGCGUGCGUAGGUGGUGAGUUAAGUCUGUCGUGAAAGCCCCGGGCUCAACCUGGGAAUGGCGAUGGAUACUGGCUCGCUAGAGUGCGGUAGAGGAGAGUGGAAUUCCCGGUGUAGCAGUGAAAUGCGUAGAGAUCGGGAGGAACAUCAGUUGCGAAGGCGGCUCUCUGGACCAGCACUGACACUGAGGCACGAAAGCGUGGGGAGCAAACAGG
rnacentral:rRNA from 1 species